UCAACCUAAACGUCAAAGGAAGGCUAACUGGGGAGACGACGAGUCUCUCCAGCUUGCAAUGUUAUACAGGGACGAAGUCCAUGUAUUGAAGAGGAACUUUGAGACGGUUGGUGUCUCUAACCAAAAGAAACACGAUGUAUGGACGAAGAUUACGGCCGACCUGAAUGGACAGUUCCACCAUGAAAGGACGGCCGUAGAGGUAAAGAAGCGAUGGUUCACCAUCACUUCUAAGUCAAGGAUGAAGCUGAAGAACUUUCGAGAUCAUCGGAAUGGAACUGGUGGCGGCCCUCCACCCCCUCCCCUUGACCCCAUUGAUGAACUUGUCGGGGACGUCUUGGGGCAAGACAGCAAGGUCAUCACGGGAUUUGAGGAGAUUGAUGACCUUGGACAUCAAAGGACUGUCGACAUUGAAGACGCAGCAGAGCCAGCGAGCCAGCUCUUCGUAGGUCAGGGAGGUGUUGAGGCACCAACAGUAAUAAUUGUGCCUGAGCCCACCCUGCAGCCACAGACUGAGGAGGGGGGUGCCCGGGGGAAGGUGCCAGCUGAGGGGGAUGCAGCAGCUGCUCAAGCAAAGGUGGCAGCUGCU